UAAUUCAACCUAAUUUCUUCCCCUGCUCUCUAACUAUGACACUCUUCCUGUUCUCUAGUUUCUUUCGAAUUUUGUUCUUCCUCUACUUCUCUCUUCUUUCACGAUCGUGGUUUCAGGUCAGGUGCUAGUUGGCUUAUCCAGCUUGAAGUAUCUGCAUUUACAUUUUACAGAUUAUGUCAUCUUAUGUCACCCAAAGUGAUCAACAAUUGCUUGAAUCGUGUGUGGGAUGAGGAACUGAGCUUGAAGCGACUACUCACUCAGUUCUUGUUUUCUCUUCUGAACUCGUCAAAUGGCAGCUUCCAUUCUUCUCAAUCAUGUUUUCCAAAGUAAUAGCUUAAUCUCUCUUCAGAUCCAAUUUUUGUUUUGAGUUUUGGACUUGAUUCUUGCUUAUUGUAAGAACUUUUGUUGAUUACAAGCCUUUUUAGUUUAUUCAUGAAGUUGUAAGAUGAGAAAUAAUUUCUUGAGUACAUAAAAAUUUCUAUGUAAAACGAGUUUAUGUUUCGCUGACGUGGCGUAUUCUGUCGCCGUACGAUCAGAAUUAAUUCAAGGGAUACAAUUAUAACC